UACGUAGGGGGCAAGCGUUGUCCGGAAUCAUUGGGCGUAAAGAGCGCGUAGGCGGCCCUGUAAGUCCGCUGUGAAAGUCAAGGGCUCAACCCUUGAAUGCCGGUGGAUACUGCAGGGCUAGAGUCCGGAAGAGGCGAGUGGAAUUCCUGGUGUAGCGGUGAAAUGCGCAGAUAUCAGGAGGAACACCGGUGGCGAAGGCGGGUCUCUGGGCAACAACGUGACGCUGAGGAGCGAAAGCGUGGGAGCGAACAGG
rnacentral:rRNA from 1 species